rnacentral:rRNA from 1 species
GAUGAACGCUGGCGGCGUGCCUAAUACAUGCAAGUCGAGCGAACAGACGAGGAGCUUGCUCCUCUGACGUUAGCGGCGGACGGGUGAGUAACACGUGGAUAACCUACCUAUAAGACUGGGAUAACUUCGGGAAACCGGAGCUAAUACCGGAUAAUAUAUUGAACCGCAUGGUUCAAUAGUGAAAGACGGUUUUGCUGUCACUUAUAGAUGGAUCCGCGCCGCAUUAGCUAGUUGGUAAGGUAACGGCUUACUAAGGCAACGAUGCGUAGCCGACCUUAGAGGGUGAUCGGCCACACUGGAACUGAGACACGGUCCAGACUCCUACGGGAGGCAGCAGUAGGGAAUCUUCCGCAAUGGGCGAAAGCCUGACGGAGCAACGCCGCGUGAGUGAUGAAGGUCUUCGGAUCGUAAAACUCUGUUAUUAGGGAAGAACAAAUGUGUAAGUAACUAUGCACGUCUUGACGGUACCUAAUCAGAAAGCCACGGCUAACUACGUG